AACGAACGCUGGCGGCAUGCCUAACACAUGCAAGUCGAACGAGACCUUCGGGUCUAGUGGCGCACGGGUGCGUAACGCGUGGGAAUCUGCCCUCUGGUUCGGAAUAACUCAGGGAAACUUGAGCUAAUACCGGAUAAUGACUUCGGUCCAAAGAUUUAUCGCCUGAGGAUGAGCCCGCGUCGGAUUAGCUAGUUGGUGAGGUAAAGGCUCACCAAGGCGACGAUCCGUAGCUGGGCUGAGAGGAUGAUCAGCCACACUGGGACUGAGACACGGCCCAGGCUCCUACGGGAGGCAGCAGUGGGGAAAAUUGGACAAUGGGCGAAAGCCUGAUCCAGCAAUGCCGCGUGAGUGAUGAAGGCCUUAGGGUUGUAAAGCUCUUUUACCCGGGAUGAAAAUGACAGUACCGGGAGAAUAAGCCCCGGCUAACUCCGUGCCAGCCGCCGCAGUAA
rnacentral:rRNA from 1 species